CCUACGGGUGGCAGUAGUGAGGAAUAUUGGUCAAUGGGCGAGAGCCUGAACCAGCCAAGUUGCGUGAGGGAGUACUGCCCUAUGGGUUGUAAACCUCUUUUGUCGGGGAGCAAAAGCCGGACGUGUCCGGCUGUGAGAGUACCCGAAGAAAAAGCAUCGGCUAACUCCGUGCCAGCAGCCGCGGUAAUACGGAGGAUGCGAGCGUUAUCCGGAUUUAUUGGGUUUAAAGGGUGCGCAGGCGGAUUUUUAAGUCAGCGGUAAAAUCGUGGGGCUCAACCCCAUCCAGCCGUUGAAACUGGGGAUCUAGAGUGUGUGAGAGGUAUGCGGAAUGCGUGGUGUAGCGGUGAAAUGCAUAGAUAUCACGCAGAACCCCGAUUGCGAAGGCAGCAUACCGGUGCACAACUGACGCUGAGGCGCGAAAGCGUGGGGAGCAAACAGGAUUAGAUACCCGAGUAGUC
rnacentral:rRNA from 1 species